GUGAAUCAUCGAAUUUUUGAACGCAAAUUGCACUCUCUGGCAUCCCGGAGAGUAUGCCUGUUUGAGAGUCAGUUUAAUAAAAAUCGGCGUAUCUCUUUCGGGAUGCACCGGAGGUUGGGUCUUCUUAUCUUUAUGUUAAGAGUCUUAAAAUUAAUAUCUUUUUUGCUAGCUUUUAGACGUACUUAGUUUUUUUUAUUCGUCUAUUCCGUUGCCAAAAUUUACU
rnacentral:misc_RNA from 1 species